AUCAGGUGUUGCAUGGCUGUCGUCAGCUCGUGUCGUGAGAUGUUCGGUUAAGUCCGCUAACGAGCGCAACCCUCGUCGUAUGUUAUAUGUGUCAUACGAGACUGCCGGUAAAAAGCCGGAGGAAGGUGAGGAUGAUGUCAAGUCAGCAUGACCUUUAUAUCCAGGGCUACACACACGCUACAAUGGUCUGUACAAUGGGUAGCCAAGCCGCGAGGCGGAGCCAAUCCUGAAAGCAGGCCUCAGUUCAGAUUGCAGUCUGCAACUCGACUGCAUGAAGCCGGAGUUGCUAGUAACCGCAGGUCAGCUAUACUGCGGUGAAUACGUUCCCGGGCUU
rnacentral:rRNA from 1 species